rnacentral:ncRNA from 2 species
UCGUCCACUUAGCGCGCCGGAGCCUUCGGGCUUAAUCGGGAAUGCAGUAGGGGCUUAGCCCCGAUCUGCAGCUGUCCCUGCAACUGUGAGCGGUGAGCGCAGACGACUUGGCGGUUUUGCCGCCAGCCACUGGGCCUUCGGGCCUGGGAAGGUGUCCGUCUGACGCUGUGACCCGCGAGCCAGGAAACCGGCCGGUGCGCGUCGCUCGAG